rnacentral:rRNA from 1 species
GACGAACGCUGGCGGCGUGCCUAAUACAUGCAAGUCGAACGCAUUUUCUUUCACCGUAGCUUGCUACACCGAAAGAAAAUGAGUGGCGAACGGGUGAGUAACACGUGGGUAACCUGCCCAUCAGCGGGGGAUAACACUUGGAAACAGGUGCUAAUACCGCAUAAUUCCAUUUACUGCAUGGUAGAUGGAUGAAAGGCGCUUUUGCGUCACUGAUGGAUGGACCCGCGGUGCAUUAGCUAGUUGGUGGGGUAACGGCCUACCAAGGCUGCGAUGCAUAGCCGACCUGAGAGGGUGAUCGGCCACACUGGGACUGAGACACGGCCCAGACUCCUACGGGAGGCAGCAGUAGGGAAUCUUCGGCAAUGGACGCAAGUCUGACCGAGCAACGCCGCGUGAGUGAAGAAGGUUUUCGGAUCGUAAAACUCUGUUGUUAGAAAAGAACAAGGAUGAGAGUGGAAAGUUCAUCCCUUGACGGUAUCUAACCAGAAAGCCACGGCUAACCACGUG